ensembl:snoRNA SNORA70 Small nucleolar RNA SNORA70
CUGCAGCCAAUUAAGCUGACUGAGUUCCUUUCCUCAUGGGGGCCCAGUGUGCAAUGGCUGCAAACAGCAGCUUCCCUGGUAGUGAUGCAGCCUGUUUGUUGUAUGGAUUGCUCUAAGGGACCUUGGAGACAGUC